CCUACGGGUGGCAGCAGUGAGGAAUAUUGGUCAAUGGACGAGAGUCUGAACCAGCCAAGUAGCGUGAAGGAUGACUGCCCUAUGGGUUGUAAACUUCUUUUAUAUGGGAAUAAAAUGUUCCACGUGUGGGAUUUUGUAUGUACCAUAUGAAUAAGGAUCGGCUAACUCCGUGCCAGCAGCCGCGGUAAUACGGAGGGUCCGAGCGUUAUCCGGAUUUAUUGGGUUUAAAGGGAGCGUAGGUGGAUUGUUAAGUCAGUUGUGAAAGUUUGCGGCUCAACCGUAGAAUUGCAGUUGAAACUGGAAGCCUUGAGUGCGGGAGAGGUGUGCGGAAUUCGUGGUGUAGCGGUGAAAUGCUUAGAUAUCACGCAGAACUCCGAUUGCGAAGGCAGUUCACUGGACUGCAACUGACGCUGAGGCUCGAAAGUGUGGGUAUCAAACAGGAUUAGAUACCCCUGUAGUC
rnacentral:rRNA from 1 species